CAGCUGUGUCAGUUUUUGCAUCUAGUUCUAUAAUAUGAUAUCUACCGUGUCAUGUGGGCGUAGUUUGUCGGCUAUGGCUACAGUCAGGUAUUAUUGGAGCCACCUAGCAUCGCGGUUGCAACGGCGUCUUCCCCACUGCUGCUCUGCUCUCGUCCCCUUUUUGGAAGAGAUCCCCAACUCUCUGGUGGUGGCUCCACUGCUGGACGCGAGGCAGGAGUCCAUCGUAGAACUCCUUGUGGAUCUCGUAGAGCUCAGGCACUUUGAAGAAGAUAGUUUCGAUCUGGGAUAUGGAAAGCACAGGCUGCGACGUUGUGGCCGCCGCUUUCAAAGGCUUCAUUGGCUGAAAGGUAGAGAAGGUGCAAGAAACAGGUCAGAAUAUGCUUGCGGUUUAUGUUCCUUAUUGACAUUUUGAUGUCAGUCAAAGGUUUCUUUCAAAAGGGUUUCAAUCACAACAUGUUGUACAGAGAGGAGCCAGAAACAGAAAAGUUUUAAAAUAACUACAGCAGACUAGAUGAGUAACAGAUCUCUUGCUAAAUAGAGGAAAUGAGUACUGUGUCUCACCAGUAGCAAUGCCUCCAGGUGACUGAGGUAUGUUUCUUCGCUGGCCAAAAUCCCAGACAGGACCCACUUCCUCAUUUCCAAACCUUUCUCCAGGUCACAUUCCGUCUGAAACAAACACCAUCCAUUAAAAGACAUGCUUUUUUGACAAAACAUCCAGGAUUAACAUUGUUCAAUAAAAGCUAGACAUAAUCAGCAAGCCUCUUUUUUUUCUAGAAACCCUCCAUUACUCCCCUGCCGUAGGGCCGGUCAAAGAUUCCUGAGGAGAAUGAACACGACGUAAAACAGAGACACUGAAAGCAAGAUUCCUCCGGCUGCCUUGCUUUGCCUUGAACUUUGAAAUAACGCAAACAGGCAGGAUGUCCCAGAGGAGUAGGAAGGUUGGUGUAUAAAUACCUGUGAGUGACUGAAUGAGAAAGAGUAUAGACACACUCACACACAACGUAGGUCGGAAGCAUCCCAUCCUUUAGGCUACGAGGAAGAGGAAAGAGGCAGGAUGAAAGAGAAUGAAAUGGAGAACAGGGCAGACACAUGCACACACGUAAACAAACACACAAAAGAAAGAAUAGCAGACAUCUUCAAAAACCCGGCAGCAUUUUGUCUUUUCAGUUGGGAGUGAAAAGAGAGAUGGAGCACAAGUUUCGAAAGAGGACUGACAACUGAAGUUGUAAGCCCCCUGCUAAGGUUUACUGCUGGCACUGUCUACAGAAACCAGAAGAUUUACUGCUGAAAAAUGUUUAUAUCUAUAUUUUAGGUUUCGUAUUUCUGGAGAACAUACCUUCCAUAAGACAUCGGCAGCAUGACUACACGAACGCCUGUACAGACUGCAGUUUCGACGUCUCCCUCCCGUGUUAUCAGCACCCAUUGGCUUGUGGUACGGAGCAUUGAGGCACUGGCUUGGUUCUACACCCGCCUUCAUGAAGACAAAAUUCCCGUGUUCGUGUAUGAGGACACAUCAAACUUUGUGGCU